rnacentral:rRNA from 1 species
GAUGAACGCUGGCGGCGUGCCUAAUACAUGCAAGUCGAGCGAACAGACGAGGAGCUUGCUCCUCUGACGUUAGCGGCGGACGGGUGAGUAACACGUGGAUAACCUACCUAUAAGACUGGGAUAACUUCGGGAAACCGGAGCUAAUACCGGAUAAUAUAUUGAACCGCAUGGUUCAAUAGUGAAAGACGGUUUUGCUGUCACUUAUAGAUGGAUCCGCGCCGCAUUAGCUAGUUGGUAAGGUAACGGCUUACCAAGGCAACGAUGCGUAGCCGACCUGAGAGGGUGAUCGGCCACACUGGAACUGAGACACGGUCCAGACUCCUACGGGAGGCAGCAGUAGGGAAUCUUCCGCAGUGGGCGAAAGCCUGACGGAGCAACGCCGCGUGAGUGAUGAAGGUCUUCGGAUCGUAAAACUCUGUUAUUAGGGAAGAACAAAUGUGUAAGUAACUAUGCACGUCUUGACGGUACCUAAUCAGAAAGCCACGGCUAACUACGU